UAAAAAGGCAGAUUGGAAUAGGGAAAAUGUUCUAAUAUGAAGAUACCUGAAUUUUCAUCUUGGUUCCAGAACUCACAAAGUGUGUAGACCUAAGGCUCAAACACAUACCAUACCAUGAACAGCCCACUCCUCUCAAAGGGAGAAUCAGCACAUUAGAGGCCAGUGGCCCAAGAUGGGGAAGAGCAUGGUGUCGGGCCCCAGAGAGUGACCGGGUCACGGAGGAAGAGAACACUGUAGAAGGACCUGGAUCCUCCCCUUGGGAGCCAGUCUCCUCCGUUUCCAGAAAUAACUUGUGCGCCUCCGGUAAAGCCACUGUGCACAGGUGCCCCCAUCAUAGUCAGAAAAGUGGAGGAAGGAUCUGGCCACACAACCAUCUUGCCUCUAGAAGACCAAGGUAGUUCACUUCCACCACUGGAUCUUCCAUAUGGCCUUGCCAUGCCUCCUUGCCACAUACCCCAAGAAGUUCCUUCCUUCUUCAGGCC
rnacentral:lncRNA from 1 species